UACGGGGGGGGCAAGCGUUGUUCGGAAUUACUGGGCGUAAAGGGCUCGUAGGUGGCCAACUAAGUCGGACGUGAAAUCCCUCAGCUUAACUGGGGAACUGCGUCCGAUACUGGAUGGCUUGAGUUUGGGAGAGGGAUGCGGAAUUCCAGGUGUAGCGGUGAAAUGCGUAGAUAUCGGGAGGAACACCAGUGGCGAAGGCGGCUUCCUGGCCUGUUCUUGACGCUGAGGCGCGAAAGCUAGGGGAGCAAACGGG
rnacentral:rRNA from 1 species